AUUGAACGCUGGCGGCAUGCCUAACACAUGCAAGUCGAACGCGAAAGUUCCUUCGGGGACGAGUAGAGUGGCGGACGGGUGAGUAACGCGUGGGAAUCUGCCCAGUAGUGGGGGACAACCCGGGGAAACUCGGGCUAAUACCGCAUACGCCCUAUGGGGGAAAGGCUUCGGCCGCUAUUGGAUGAGCCCGCGUCGGAUUAGCUUGUUGGUAGGGUAAUGGCCUACCAAGGCGACGAUCUGUAGCUGGUCUGAGAGGACGACCAGCCACACUGGGACUGAGACACGGCCCCAGACUCCUACGGGAGGCAGCAGUGGGGAAUAUUGGACAAUGGCGAAGCCUGAUCCAGCAAUGCCGCGUGUGUGAAGAAGGCCUGCGGGUUGUAAAGCACUUUCAGUAGGGAAGAUAAUGACGGUACCUACAGAAGAAGCACCGGCUAACUCCGUGCCAGCAGCCGCGGUAAUACGGAGGGUGCGAGCGUUAAUCGGAAUUACUGGGCGUAAAGCGCGCGUAGGCGGUUUUGUAAGUCGGAUGUGAAAUCCCCGGGCUUAACCUGGGAAUUGCAUUCGAUACUGCAUGACUAGAGUCUAGAAGAGGGAUGCGGAAUUCCGGGUGUAGCGGUGAAAUGCGUAGAGAUCCGGAGGGACAUCAGUGGCGAAGGCGGCAUCCUGGGCUAAGACUGACGCUGAGGUGCGAAAGCGUGGGGAGCAAACA
rnacentral:rRNA from 1 species